CUUUCCUUGAUGACGACUGGCGCACGGGUGAGUAACGCGUAUCCAACCUUCCCAUAACUACGGGAUAACCCGUUGAAAGACGGCCUAAUACCGUAUGAUAUCGUUUGCUGACAUCAAAUAACGAUUAAAGGUUUAGCGGUUAUGGAUGGGGAUGCGUCUGAUUAGCUUGUUGGCGGGGUAACGGCCCACCAAGGCAACGAUCAGUAGGGGUUCUGAGAGGAAGGUCCCCCACAUUGGAACUGAGACACGGUCCAAACUCCUACGGGAGGCAGCAGCC
rnacentral:rRNA from 1 species